UACGUAGGGGGCAAGCGUUGUCCGGAUUUAUUGGGCGUAAAGAGCGUGUAGGCGGCCAUGUAGGUCCGUUGUGAAAACUCGAGGCUCAACCUCGAGACGCCGAUGGAAACCAUGUGGCUAGAGUCCGGAAGAGGAGAGUGGAAUUCCUGGUGUAGCGGUGAAAUGCGCAGAUAUCAGGAAGAACACCCGUAGCUAAGGCGGCUCUCUAGUACGGUACUGACGCUGAGACGCGAAAGCGUGGGGAGCAAACAGG
rnacentral:rRNA from 1 species